AUGCUUGCCUUGUCAGAGCAUCUGCUCUUCGCUGCUCAAGAUUUCGUCCAUGUAGACGGUCUAGUCGCUAGACAUGCUCCCUUGAAUGGAGCCUUGCUUUCACGUUCUUUAUGGAUGGCGGAGUGGUUGCACCGAAGUGGCAGAUGCGGAGGAACAAACGGCAUGCGCUGGCAAAGCGCGAGAUCUAGUGGGCAUCACAGUGGCAAAGCGCCAGAACUAGCAGCCGUCCCGGGGGGGCGAUGGGCGGGUGGUGCUGCGAUCGGCACCGACGCUAACCCUAUGGAGGCCGGCGGCGGGCUUGGGGGCAUCGUGGAAGAGGAGGUCGGUGGCGGGCUUGGGGGGAUCGUGGAGGAGGAGGAAGAUGGAAGUGGGGAGGAGGACGAUGGAUCGAACAGCCACCUACUCGCACUGGGUAACGAAGCACAACAAAAUGCUGGGAUCAGGCGUGAAAACGUGACCGCGUCACUCCCGGUACUCCCACAGCAACGUAAAAAGCGGUCGAACCGAGCAGGAGAAGCCACCUUGCAGUCGCACCAGUCCAACGCACCGCACCCGAGUCUCCCGUCUGAGAACCCAACCCCACUCCAUGUCUGCGCCAAUGCCAGGGCCGGAGGUGUUCGACGUCGUCAUCUUCGGAGCCUCGGGCUUCACAUACGUCAUCCGCGAGGCCCUCAAGUUCCUGCCCCCAACGCCUCCCCGCUCCGAACCCUCGCGCUCGCCGGCCGCAGCCGGGAACGAGUCGCCGCUGCGCUCAGCUGGGCCGCCUCGCCGGGGCCCGUUCCGCACGUCCCCAUCCUCGUCGCCGAUACCUCCGACCCAGCCUCUCUCGCCGUGGUCAUCGCGCGGGCGCGCGUCCUGCUCUCCUGCGCGGGGCCCUUCCGCCUCCAUGGCCGCCAGGUGGCUGCGGCCUGCGCGGCAGCAGGGGCCCACUGCCUCGACAUCUCCGGCGAGCCCGAGUUCAUGGAGCGCGUCGAGGCCGACCUCCACGAGCUCGCCGCCAAGAACGGGUCGCUGAUUGUCUCCGCCUGCGGUUUUGCCUCCACCGUCGCGGACCUGGGGUUCUUGUUCCACUCCAGGCAGUGGACGCCACCGUCAGUGCCGGUGAGCAUGGUCGCGUAUGUCAACCUGGAGUCGUCGGACAGAAAGAUCGUCGGGAACUUCGCCACGUUUGAGUCGGCUGUUCUUGGUGUGGCCAACACCAGCCAGCUGCAAGAGCUGCGCCGGUCCCGGCCGAGGCCCGCAAAGCCCAGUAUUCUUGCAAAAAUAUUUUACAAUUGGAAUCUGUUGGGAUGGAAUUACAAUCUCACGUCUAACAAUGUCAUUGAUGUCCUCUCGACCCGGUCUGAGCCUAACAGCCAUAGGACUGUUGGAUCUAUAUGGAUGUAUCAUAUAUCAUACACGUUCCUCCAACACCAUUCAUGGAGGAGCCAUCAGUGUUCAACUUCACCCUCCCAGGUCGCAGCUUCCAUCCGCGACCAGGUGUGGAAAACCGAUCGGCAUAUAGUAGCUAUCCAUUUCCCUUUCACACGGUCGGCAUCAGGCUUAGCCUCGAUCGACCGAGGAGUAGCUAGUUCCAGCAGCUCCCAUUCCCGUGACAUGGCAUGCCACAGUUUCUUUGCAUUUGUGCAGGAACAAAACCACUUUAGAGUCGGGGUGUGCUACGUUCCUCGUGAUGAAAUUAGCUUAGCUCGAGUUAGAGUAAACAGGAAGUCCCGUCCCAGCAUGAGCAUUGUCUUCAAUAAGCUAUAUGGCAGUAUCCGCUGUGAUCAUAUUCCUGCUCAAGAUGUAAUUCCUGGUCCUCUUCCUCCCAAAGGAUCGUUGAUGAUCGAGCAUGAGAAGGCACUAGGAUUGUGGGCCAUGAAGUUACCUUCUGCUGACACAGUGGUUGUGAAGAGAACACUAGCAAAAGUGACGGAGCAUCCCAAGGGCCUUCCUUGUGUGGACGAGACCUCAGAUUUUGAGAAGCAUAGGAAGGAAUUCUGGUCCUCUAUAAAACCUGCACAUUUUGGUGUAAAGAUCGGCAGCCGUUCCAUCUUGGGCCUUGUGUGGUGCCUGUCUACUGCAAUUUUCGUCGGCAUUCUUGUGGGUUUCUCCUUUGGCAGGUCUCUCUUGCUAAAAUUCCCUGAGUUCUUCUCCCUCGGGUUUUUCAGAAAGACCGGACCAACAGAAGCGGAGGUCAGCAGCGCCUCGUUCAAAACAUGGUUCGUCGGCCGUGGCUACAUCGAUUCGGCCCACGCAUCAGAGUGUGGAAGCAAGCCAGAUAAGGAGAUUGUCACCAGGAGUUUCGGGGCCAGAGAUCGGGUAAUCAUGAACCAAAAGAAGGAAUAUGAAAUUCUCAAACUGCAAGUUGCAGAGAGCAGCACUGGCUAUCUGAAAUUCUGCAGUGAUGAAAUACCUCAGAUAAAAAAUUGGAUUCAAAGAAGGGUGAUGAGGGCAUGGCGCAUUGCUGGAGUGGUACCUGCACUAGAACGUUGGAGCCUCUCCAUGAGUGCGGAGAUGAUAUGA
rnacentral:rRNA from 1 species